AACGAACGCUGGUGGCAGGCUUAACACAUGCAAGUCGAGCGCCCCGCAAGGGGAGCGGCAGACGGGUGAGUAACGCGUGGGAAUCUACCCAUCUCUACGGAAUAACGCAUGGAAACGUGUGCUAAUACCGUAUACGUCCUUCGGGAGAAAGAUUUAUCGGAGAUGGAUAAGCCCGCGUUGGAUUAGCUAGUUGGUGGGGUAAAGGCCUACCAAGGCGACGAUCCAUAGCUGGUCUGAGAGGAUGAUCAGCCACACUGGGACUGAGACACGGCCCAGACUCCUACGGGAGGCAGCAGUGGGGAAUAUUGGACAAUGGGCGCAAGCCUGAUCCAGCCAUGCCGCGUGAGUGAUGAAGGCCCUAGGGUUGUAAAGCUCUUUCACCGGUGAAGAUAAUGACGGUAACCGGAGAAGAAGCCCCGGCUAACUUCGUGCCAGCCGCCGCCGUAAAAC
rnacentral:rRNA from 1 species